rnacentral:lncRNA from 1 species
UUUUUUUCUCAUUCCUCCUCCAGUGGCAGGAUGUGAUCCACCAGCAAGGAGGGAUGCCAAUAAGGUGUCCGAUAAGUCAAGGAAAAAGAUGAAGGAAAGGCCUGACUUUUGUAUCUAGUCACAGACACUGCCAGAAGGCAGCAACACAACAUGAAGCUCAUUCCAACUGAAACACAACAAAGGAGAUACCACAGGUGUGCUGGUAUACAACGAAAAUUCUAACUCUCAAGUGGCUCAGGCAGGAGAAUCAAAAGUUCAACACCAUCCUGACCCUGUGUCAAAAAUGCUGUUUUCCUUCUGGAAAUAAAAUUCUGUAUAUACAAGCAGAGCCAUUUUUAAAAAUCAGAUUUAUUGCUCUUACAUUUUACUGCCUUGAGUCUCAAUAAAAAAAAAUUGUAUUUGCUUUCUUUAUAUACAAAUAUAAUUUAAAUAAAUAAUCUCAGAAAAUAAAUCAACUCAGCAUAUCCCAGAGUUUUAAGUGGCUUUAUAAACAUCAUCUAGUGUUACAAGGAAACAGUUUGCAUUCUAACCACAGAAAUGUUCAAUCAUUUUAACUAUUGAAC